UGAUUUGUUGGACGCUAGCGGCGGAUGGGUGAGUAACACGUGGGCAAUCUGCCCUAAAGACUGGGAUACCACUUGGAAACAGGUGCUAAUACCGGAUAACAACAUGAAUCGCAUGAUUCAAGUUUGAAAGGCGGCGUAAGCUGUCACUUUAGGAUGAGCCCGCGGCGCAUUAGCUAGUUGGUGGGGUAAAGGCCUACCAAGGCAAUGAUGCGUAGCCGAGUUGAGAGACUGAUCGGCCACAUUGGGACUGAGACACGGCCCAAACUCCUACGGGAGGCAGCAGUAGGGAAUCUUCCACAAUGGACGCAAGUCUGAUGGAGCAACGCCGCGUGAGUGAAGAAGGUUUUCGGAUCGUAAAGCUCUGUUGUUGGUGAAGAAGGAUAGAGGCAGUAACUGGUCUUUAUUUGACGGUAAUCAACCAGAAAGUCACGGCUAACUACGUGCCAGCAGCCGCGGUAAUACGUAGGUGGCAAGCGUUGUCCGGAUUUAUUGGGCGUAAAGCGAGCGCAGGCGGAAUGAUAAGUCUGAUGUGAAAGCCCACGGCUCAACCGUGGAACUGCAUCGGAAACUGUCAUUCUUGAGUGCAGAAGAGGAGAGUGGAAUUCCAUGUGUAGCGGUGGAAUGCGUAGAUAUAUGGAAGAACACCAGUGGCGAAGGCGGCUCUCUGGUCUGCAACUGACGCUGAGGCUCGAAAGCAUGGGUAGCGAACAGGAUUAGAUACCCUGGUAGUCCAUGCCGUAAACGAUGAGCGCUAGGUGUUGGGGACUUUCCGGUCCUCAGUGCCGCAGCAAACGCAUUAAGCGCUCCGCCUGGGGAGUACGACCGCAAGGUUGAAACUCAAAGGAAUUGACGGGGGCCCGCACAAGCGGUGGAGCAUGUGGUUUAAUUCGAAGCAACGCGAAGAACCUUACCAGGUCUUGACAUCCUGCGCUACACCUAGAGAUAGGUGGUUCCCUUCGGGGACGCAGAGACAGGUGGUGCAUGGCUGUCGUCAGCUCGUGUCG
rnacentral:rRNA from 1 species